UCUUAUAAUUGUUUGAUUUGUUGUAGACGUUCGAUAUACGCUCGUAAUUGUUGUGUUUUCUUAUAAGAUUUCUGAAGAAAACAAUGUAACGUGAAAUUAUCUUGAAGAAAUAAUGAUAAAUCAUUUUCAUAGUUACAUUUUCGUUACUUUUUAAAAUAAAUGAAAAUAGCGCAUUUGUGCUUUUAUGUGUAUUACAUACUUAAACUUGAAUUUUUUAAUGUAUAUAAAAAAUGAAAGCAUUUUGCCAUAUCAAAAAAUGCGAUUAGAUCGUGAAGAUACAUUCAACAAAUAUAAAUUUAAUGUUUUUAUAUAAUAUUGAUGGUAAUUUCAACAAUAAAAUUUUCGUUGAUAUAUGGGACACCGAGCAGUUGAAGUUGGACCAAGUUCAUAUGUAUAUAUUGUAUUUAUUAGAAUGUAAGUUCGUUUGUCACAAUAAGAUGAAAAAUCGUGUCGGAAGAUUUGCUAAGUACAAAAUGAAACGCUGUCUAGAAAAUUUUUACAAUCGACGAGGGAGAUUUUUUAUUUGAGGGGCAUUUUCUAGAAAAAUUUGUUUUGUUAUAGACUUUCAUUGAAUACUAUCUUUUGCCACACGAUGAUGUCUCUGUAAAGAAUGACAUAUCUGACAUAAUUAUAUAAUU
rnacentral:misc_RNA from 1 species